rnacentral:rRNA from 1 species
GACGAACGCUGGCGGCGCGCCUAACACAUGCAAGUCGAACGGAGCUGAGAGAAGCUUGCUUUUCUUAGCUUAGUGGCGAACGGGUGAGUAACGCGUGAGUAACCUGCCCUGGAGUGGGGGACAACAGUUGGAAACGACUGCUAAUACCGCAUAAGCCCACGAACCGGCAUCGGAUUGAGGGAAAAGGAUUUAUUCGCUUCAGGAUGGACUCGCGUCCAAUUAGCUAGUUGGUGAGGUAACGGCCCACCAAGGCGACGAUUGGUAGCCGGACUGAGAGGUUGAACGGCCACAUUGGGACUGAGACACGGCCCAGACUCCUACGGGAGGCAGCAGUGGGGGAUAUUGCACAAUGGGGGAAACCCUGAUGCAGCGACGCCGCGUGGAGGAAGAAGGUUUUCGGAUUGUAAACUCCUGUCGUUAGGGACGAUAAUGACGGUACCUAACAAGAAAGCACCGGCUAACUACGUG